CACUUAUUAAAUAUUAAUUAGAUAUAGAGGCACAUAGUUAAUAAUUUCACUAAUUAAAAUCUUUUGGCGGAAGGAUUCGCGCACUCCAGUUUUCUCUCUCAUUUUGGCGGAAGAACUCCCACGUCUUAAAUCUCUUUCAAUUUCACUCAAAACCUACCAAUUGCCCUAUCUCACUCUCGACUCUCUCCUUUAUCACACUAAUUUUCCAAUCUACGUUAGCAUAAAAAUACAAAAUCUGAAAAUCCUUUGAAUUUUUCACCAUUGUGCCGCCGAUAUCUCCUGGAGCAGCACAUCUCUUGCGCCGCCCGACAUCCCGCAGCUGCGCUGUUGUCACUGCUGAGCGGCCGAUUUCUGCCGACGUGCGCUGCCGAUAUCCAACAUCUGCUUUCAGCCACCGUUGCGAUUUGCAGUAUCCCCAAAUUAAAAGCGUCUUCUACGGUGAAGAGCAAUCGCACAAUCGUCACCUAUAGAUCUUCGGGACAAGCCUGCACUUGAGACGCCUUUUGCUUCUCAAAAUUCUUUCACAAGAGUGACUAUCCUUCCAUGGCUCGGCUGCUGUUCCUGAUAACGGAUUUGGAAGGAGGCCUAAUCCUUCUGCAAUACUAAGAAAUGAAACUACUGCAUCUAUACCUGGCUGGACAGAGAAACCCUUGUAGAAUACCAAUUUUUCGCAUACAACUCGAAAAAGAGAUGAGAAGGCAGUACCUGCCUUAUUGGCUUAUUUUUUUUAUAGUCUACUGUUUAAAGCAGUAAAAGAUUUUAAUCAUCUAUUCAGGUAAUUAUCAAUUCCAAUUCCAGUACUGAUAAGAUGGUCAAUCAUAUUUUUAUGAAAUCCGCAUAAAAAAAAAGUUAAUGAAGUUCAAACUCGUCAUAUUUUAUGUGCUGUAAUUUUUGCUUGUGAUAGUGGUCAUCUUGAGGUGUAUGUAUACUGCACUAUAAUUGCUUCUGCUUUUCAUUCAUCGAUUUAAACUUCUAGCUAAUGUGCACCUGCAGGCUAAUUUGAUAUUUGAAUCUGGUUUUCUUGCUUAUCUACUUCUACUUUAGCCUUGUUACGUAUUACAUGCUUCACUCUGCCGUCUGCAAUCUUGCUGGAUUACAUUAACCUUUCUCUUUUGUCCAAGCUAUACUGUAAUUUUUAGUCUACACUGGUAUCUGACCUAUUACUGUCUUAUUGCUUUAAAGGAUAUACUAACCUCUAUUUUUUUUUCUGAAUGCAGUUCUCCCUGAUUUUGGUCAAGUGUACAGUUUCAUAGGCAGUGUCUUUGACCCAAAUGUGACUGGCCAUUUGCAUAAAUUGAAGAAGAUGGACCCAAUUGAUAUUGAGACAGUACUAUUGUUGAUGAGAAAUCUCUCGAGCAAUUUGGCUAGUAGUGAUUUUGAGGAUCAUAGAAGGCUGCUUUCAUCAUAUGAGACUGACCUCGAGAAGGAUGAUGCUUUUGAUGUAACUGAUUCUAUCCUUUGUAGCCAAUCUGAAGGUGCAGGCUAACUUUGCGUAUUUUUGUAGCCAAAAGAAUAUGAUAUGAUUGUAUUUGUACAAUAAGUGUCUUUUUUACACUUAUUUAUAUAAUAAUUUUAGAGCAUACAUUUUUAAUACUA